CCCUAAAAGCAGUCUUAGUUCGGAUUGUGGGCUGCAACUCGCCCACAUGAAGUCGGAGUUGCUAGUAAUCCCGAAUCAGCAUGUCGGGGUGAAUGCGUUCUCGGGUCUUGUACACACCGCCCGUCACGCCAUGGGAGUUGGGAGUGCCCAAAGUCAGUGUUCUAACCGCAAGGAGG
rnacentral:rRNA from 1 species